AAUUCGGCGACGGAUCAUUCAAGUGUCUGCCCUAUCAACUUUCGUCGGUACGGUAUUUGCCUACCGAGGUUCUUACGGGUGACGGGGAAUCAGGGUUCGAUUCCGGAGAGGGAGCCUGAGAAACGGCUACCACAUCCAAGGAAGGCAGCAGGCGCGCAAAUUACCCAUUCCCGACGCGGGGAGGUAGUGACGAAAAAUAACAAUGCAGGACUCGUUCGAGGCCCUGUAAUUGGAAUGAGUACACUUUAAAAGCUUUAACGAGUAUCCAUUGGAGGGCAAGUCUGGUGCCAGCAGCCGCGGUAAUUCCAGCUCCAAAAGUAUAUAUUUAAGUUGUUGCGGUUAAAAAGCUCGUAGUUGGAUUUUGGGCGCAGGCGGCCGGUCCGUCGCAAGGCGUGUACUGGACGUCCUGGCCUUCCCUCCUGUUCUCCGCCGGUGCUCUUGACUGAGUGUCGGCGGCGGCCGGAACGUUUACUUUGAAAAAAUUAGAGUGUUCAAAGCAGGCUCUCGAGCCUGGAUAAUGGUGCAUGGAAUAAUGGAAUAGGACCUCGGUUCUAUUUUGUUGGUUUUCGGAGCGCGAGGUAAUGAUUAAGAGGGACAGACGGGGGCAUUCGUACUGUGCCGUUAGAGGUGAAAUUCUUGGAUCGGCGCAAGACGAACGACUGCGAAAGCAUUUGCCAAGAAUGUUUUCUUUAAUCAAGAGCGAAAGUCAGAGGUUCGAAGACG
rnacentral:ncRNA from 1 species